UAAUCCUCAAUGCUGGGGGUCGUGACCUC
rnacentral:sRNA from 1 species